UCCAGGCCCUACGGGGUGCAGCAGGCGCGAAACCUCCGCAAUGUGAGAAAUCGCGACGGGGGGAUCCCAAGUGCCAUUCUUAACGGGAUGGCUUUUCAUUAGUGUAAAGAGCUUUUGGAAUAAGAGCUGGGCAAGACCGGUGCCAGCCGCCGCGGUAACACCGGCAGCUCUAGUGGUAGCAGUUUUUAUUGGGCCUAAAGCGUCCGUAGCCGGUUUAAUAAGUCUCUGGUGAAAUCCUGCAGCUUAACUGUGGGAAUUGCUGGAGAUACUAUUAGACUUGAGAUCGGGAGAGGUUAGAGGUACUCCCAGGGUAGAGGUGAAAUUCUGUAAUCCUGGGAGGACCGCCUGUUGCGAAGGCGUCUGACUGGAACGAUUCUGACGGUGAGGGACGAAAGCUAGGGGCGCGAACCGGAUUAGAUACCCGGGUAGUCCUAGCUGUAAACGAUGCGGACUUGGUGUUGGGGUGGCUUUGAGCUGUCCCAGUGCCGAAGGGAAGCUGUUAAGUCCGCCGCCUGGGAAGUACGGUCGCAAGACUGAAACUUAAAAGAAUUGGCGGGGGAGCACCACAACGCGUGGAGCCUGCGGUUUAAUUGGAGUCAACGCCGG
rnacentral:rRNA from 1 species